rnacentral:tRNA from 1 species
UGCUCGGAUGGUGGAAUGGUAGACACUAGGGACUUAAAAUCCCUUGGGGGCAACCCCGUGCAGGUUCGAGUCCUGUUCCGAGCAU